AUCUGGUGACGAGGGCAAGAUGCACAUAACUUCUUGAAUCUUUCCCAAUACUCAUAUAAACUCUCUCUAUUUUGUUGUCGAACACCACAUAUUUCUUUCCUAAUGUU
rfam:Macleaya cordata isolate BLH2017 scaffold1161, whole genome shotgun sequence.